GUCAGCGGCGGACGGGUGAGUAACACGUGGGCAACCUGCCCGCAAGACCGGGAUAACUCCGGGAAACCGGAGCUAAUACCGGAUAACACCGAAGACCGCAUGGUCUUUGGUUGAAAGGCGGCCUUUGGCUGUCACUUGCGGAUGGGCCCGCGGCGCAUUAGCUAGUUGGUGAGGUAACGGCUCACCAAGGCGACGAUGCGUAGCCGGCCUGAGAGGGUGACCGGCCACACUGGGACUGAGACACGGCCCAGACUCCUACGGGAGGCAGCAGUAGGGAAUCUUCCGCAAUGGGCGAAAGCCUGACGGAGCGACGCCGCGUGAGCGAAGAAGGCCUUCGGGUCGUAAAGCUCUGUUGUGAGGGACGAAGGAGCGCCGUUCGAAGAGGGCGGCGCGGUGACGGUACCUCACGAGGAAGCCCCGGCUAACUACGUGCCAGCAGCCGCGGUAAUACGUAGGGGGCGAGCGUUGUCCGGAAUUAUUGGGCGUAAAGCGCGCGCAGGCGGUUCCUUAAGUCUGAUGUGAAAGCCCACGGCUCAACCGUGGAGGGUCAUUGGAAACUGGGGGACUUGAGUGCAGGAGAGGAGAGCGGAAUUCCACGUGUAGCGGUGAAAUGCGUAGAGAUGUGGAGGAACACCAGUGGCGAAGGCGGCUCUCUGGCCUGCAACUGACGCUGAGGCGCGAAAGCGUGGGGAGCAAACAGGAUUAGAUACCCUGGUAGUCCACGCCGUAAACGAUGAGUGCUAAGUGUUAGAGGGGUCACACCCCUUUAGUGCUGCAGCUAACGCGAUAAGCACUCCGCCUGGGGGAGUACGGGCCGCAAAGGCUGAAACUCAAAAGGAUUUGACGGGGGGCCCGCACCAACGGGUGGAACCAUUGUGGGUUUAAUUCCGAAGCAACCCCGAAGAACCUUUACCAAGGUCUUUGACAUCCCC
rnacentral:rRNA from 1 species